rnacentral:tRNA from 1 species
GGCUGCGUGGUUUAAUGGAUAACGUGUCUGACUUCGGAUCAGAAGAUUGCAGGUUCAAGUCUUGUCGAGGUCC